rnacentral:piRNA from 1 species
UGGUCUCUCAGGAAGCUACAGACUUGA